rnacentral:misc_RNA from 1 species
AAGUCGUAACAAGGUUUCCGUAGGUGAACCUGCGGAAGGAUCAUUAUCGAGUUAGGGUUCCCUCCGAGGGCCCGACCUCCAACCCGGUGUCUAAAUUACCAAACGUUGCUUCGGCGGGCCCGCCUGUAAUAGGGCCGCCGGGGGUCUUGUACCUCUGGCCCGUGCCCGUCGAUAGCCCACAACAAACUCUUGAUCAACCGUGUCCUGUCUGAAUGAUACUUAUAAUAAGCACAAAACUUUCAACAACGGAUCUCUUGGUUCUG